rnacentral:rRNA from 1 species
UACGUAGGGUGCGAGCGUUAAUCGGAAUUACUGGGCGUAAAGCGUGCGCAGGCGGUUCGUUGUGUCGGCGGUGAAAGCCCCGGGCUCAACCUGGGAAUGGCCGUUGAAACUGGCGAACUGGAGUGUGGCAGAGGGGGGUGGAAUUCCGCGUGUAGCAGUGAAAUGCGCAGAUAUCAGGAGGAACACCAAUUGCGAAGGCAGCUCGCUGGGACGUUACUGACGCUGAGACGCGAAAGCGUGGGGAUCAAACAGG